rfam:Ochotona princeps cont2.55300, whole genome shotgun sequence.
UUCUGGGGCGGUGUUUACUGGCUCCUCUUCUUCCCUGCCUCCGCCCUGCUCUUGGCCCGGGCGUGGAGCUUCUUUCUGUUUCCCAGCCAGACCUGGAAAAAAAAAAAAAAAACGAAAACGCAGCUUGGGGAGCCCCCACCAGCUUGCCUCUGGCCACGGCCAGCUGCUGAUGCACACUACAGCCAAGGCCAGCUCCACAUUUUUCCCUCCCCCUCUCACUUCACCAGAGCCCGGGGAACUCUGCAGAGGAAGGGCCUUGGACUGUGGGGACUGCCCAAGUCAACUGGGUCCCUCCUCAUCAAAAACAUUGAAAAGAAGUUUCAUCCGGUUUCCCCGAAGAGCCACCCGCAG